GUGACGUGACUUACAAUAACAAGAGACUUUUAUUGUGAAGGUGACUUUAAUUGACGGGACUCUUAUUGUGAAAAUACCGGAAGUGAGGUUUGACCGGAAACAGGAAGAGUAUAAGACGGCGUGUUUUUGUAGGGAACGUCCUCUUUUUUCAGGUAAGCCCCGAAGGGAAGGUUGUGCUCUCCGGAAGAUGCCGGGAGCCUGCAGCCUUGACACGAGGGAGAGCGCGUUGAAUGUUUGAUUCACUUUUCUUGCCAUUAAAUGUUGAUAACUUAAUCCAUGCGUGUCCGGAAGCCUGUUUCUCCUCCAUCUGCGUAGUGCCCCAGUUUUGAGAAUACCUUACAAUUUGGAAACCACGGAAGGCGAAACUGAGAUGGGCCGCCAGAGUUACGGGACUAAGGACGCGUUCAUGCGCUACACCUGACGCUCCAGCAUCGACCUCCAUCGUGUGCUGACUGCCUGCUGUGAGGACCUGCCAUGAGGAGCUGCCCACAGGAGCAUCGGACACCAUCAUCACCUGGCUCAGAGAGACUGAGGAGCAGACGGAGAGCCAUCCUGAGGACCCCUGCGAUGCCAUUCGGAGCAGAGGACGACGCAGAGGAAGAAGAACAGAUGACAUCAUGUGGAUAUGCAAAUCCACCGACGGACGGACGGCGCAGCCAGUGAAAACCAUGAGGAAUAAUAUCUCCCCAGGGGCUGGGACGCCCGGGAGGUAUGAGACAGGUUCCAGAGAGACAAGGCUUUUCCGACCUUUUGGAUGACGGCAGAGAACCACGGCAUGCAGGUAGCUGCAUGUAGGCCGAGAUCCUUGAGAAGUCCUCAGCUGAGAUUAGUGAGUGUGAAUUGCUGGUAGACAGUUAACUGCUUGCAGUCUGUGGACGCAGUAGUUCAUUCUCCCUCAGCUGAGUGGGACGAUCGCAACCAUCAUUGACAAUGGAACUGGAGUUGCAGAGCAUGUAUGCGGAGGGACUGGAUUCACAGGGAUGCACAGACACCUGCACAGAUAGACACUUAGACAGUGCACACGUUACAUCAACCGGAACCAUCAGGACAGCAAGAUUUUCACCUGUGUGAUGAAUACAUUCACACUGACACUUAGUGUUAUUUAGUUUCCUUGAGAAGCAGGGAUGAAAGGAGGGAGUGAUGUUCUUCUUCCACAGGGAUGCUGAAUGAUAAUGAGUGCUUCUUAAAAUGUUGUACAAUGUUUGUUUACAUAGAGGGUCAAAAUAAAAGGGCUAUUACUUGGUUGUUUAUACUAUUGGAUAAGUAUAAAAGGAGGGAUUGUUAAGUUGUAAUAGUUUAUUUUGAUAACAUCUGCAGAGGUCUUAUGUUUUAAAUUAAUACAUAUAGAAAGAUAUUAUAAGAGAAAAUAUUAAGGAGAAUAUUGAUAUUGUUAUUAAUGUAUUAUGAAGCAUAGGGGUAAUGUUUACUCUAUGCAAAUGUAAAUGGCAAGAAUUAAUGUAUGUUGCAUGAGAGUGACUGUAUGUUAGUAUUAUAGAUUGACGAAGCCGGUUGAAAUCCGUGACGUGACUUACAAUAACAAGAGACUUUUAUUGUGAA